rnacentral:tRNA from 1 species
GGAAUUGUGGCUCAGUGGUAGAGCACUUGGCUAGCAUGCAUGAGGCACUGGGUUUGAUCCCUGCACCA